rnacentral:tRNA from 1 species
GCGGCCGUGGCGAAAUUGGUAGACGCGCAGCAUUGAGGGUGCUGUUCCCAAAAGGAAUGGAAGUUCAAAUCUUCUCGGCCGCACCA